GAGGGUAUAGCUCAGUGGUAGAGUAUAUGCUUAGCAUGCAGAAGGUCUUGGGUUUAAUCUCCAGCAUCUCCA
rnacentral:tRNA from 1 species